rnacentral:rRNA from 1 species
UCGAGGGGCAGCGCGGGAGUGGCAACACUUCUGGCGGCGACCGGCGGAAGGGUGCGUAACACGUGAGCAACCUGCCCGCAUCCGGGCAAUAACCGGCGGAAACGCCGACUAAUGGCCCGUAACACGGUGGUUCGCAUGGACCGCUGUUGAAAGAUUCGUCGGAUGCGGAUGGGCUCGCGGGACAUUAGCUGGUUGGAGUGGUAACGGCACACCAAGGCGACGAUGUCUAGGGGUUCUGAGAGGAAGGUCCCCACACUGGAACUGAGACACGGUCCAGACUCC